rnacentral:rRNA from 1 species
GGGUUGUGAGGUUAAGCGACUAAGCGUACACGGUGGAUGCCCUGGCAGUCAGAGGCGAUGAAGGACGUGCUAAUCUGCGAUAAGCGUCGGUAAGGUGAUAUGAACCGUUAUAACCGGCGAUUUCCGAAUGGGGAAACCCAGUGUGAUUCGUCACACUAUCAUUAACUGAAUCCAUAGGUUAAUGAGGCGAACCGGGGGAACUGAAACAUCUAAGUACCCCGAGGAAAAGAAAUCAACCGAGAUUCCCCCAGUAGCGGCGAGCGAACGGGGAGCAGCCCAGAGCCUGAAUCAGUGUGUGUGUUAGUGGAAGCGUCUGGAAAGGCGUGCGAUACAGGGUGACAGCCCCGUACACAAAAAUGCACAUACUGUGAGCUCGAUGAGUAGGGCGGGACACGUGGUAUCCUGUCUGAAUAUGGGGGGACCAUCCUCCAAGGCUAAAUACUCCUGACUGACCGAUAGUGAACCAGUACCGUGAGGGAAAGGCGAAAAGAACCCCGGCGAGGGGAGUGAAAAAGAACCUGAAACCGUGUACGUACAAGCAGUGGGAGCACGCUUAGGCGUGUGACUGCGUACCUUUUGUAUAAUGGGUCAGCGACUUAUAUUCUGUAGCAAGGUUAACCGAAUAGGGGAGCCGAAGGGAAACCGAGUCUUAACUGGGCGUUAAGUUGCAGGGUAUAGACCCGAAACCCGGUGAUCUAGCCAUGGGCAGGUUGAAGGUUGGGUAACACUAACUGGAGGACCGAACCGACUAAUGUUGAAAAAUUAGCGGAUGACUUGUGGCUGGGGGUGAAAGGCCAAUCAAACCGGGAGAUAGCUGGUUCUCCCCGAAAGCUAUUUAGGUAGCGCCUCGUGAAUUCAUCUCCGGGGGUAGAGCACUGUUUCGGCAAGGGGGUCAUCCCGACUUACCAACCCGAUGCAAACUGCGAAUACCGGAGAAUGUUAUCACGGGAGACACACGGCGGGUGCUAACGUCCGUCGUGAAGAGGGAAACAACCCAGACCGCCAGCUAAGGUCCCAAAGUCAUGGUUAAGUGGGAAACGAUGUGGGAAGGCCCAGACAGCCAGGAUGUUGGCUUAGAAGCAGCCAUCAUUUAAAGAAAGCGUAAUAGCUCACUGGUCGAGUCGGCCUGCGCGGAAGAUGUAACGGGGCUAAACCAUGCACCGAAGCUGCGGCAGCGACGCUUAUGCGUUGUUGGGUAGGGGAGCGUUCUGUAAGCCUGUGAAGGUGUGCUGUGAGGUAUGCUGGAGGUAUCAGAAGUGCGAAUGCUGACAUAAGUAACGAUAAAGCGGGUGAAAAGCCCGCUCGCCGGAAGACCAAGGGUUCCUGUCCAACGUUAAUCGGGGCAGGGUGAGUCGACCCCUAAGGCGAGGCCGAAAGGCGUAGUCGAUGGGAAACAGGUUAAUAUUCCUGUACUUGGUGUUACUGCGAAGGGGGGACGGAGAAGGCUAUGUUGGCCGGGCGACGGUUGUCCCGGUUUAAGCGUGUAGGCUGGUUUUCCAGGCAAAUCCGGAAAAUCAAGGCCGAGGCGUGAUGACGAGGCACUACGGUGCUGAAGCAACAAAUGCCCUGCUUCCAGGAAAAGCCUCUAAGCAUCAGGUAACAUCAAAUCGUACCCCAAACCGACACAGGUGGUCAGGUAGAGAAUACCAAGGCGCUUGAGAGAACUCGGGUGAAGGAACUAGGCAAAAUGGUGCCGUAACUUCGGGAGAAGGCACGCUGAUACGUAGGUGAAGCGACUUGCUCGUGGAGCUGAAAUCAGUCGAAGAUACCAGCUGGCUGCAACUGUUUAUUAAAAACACAGCACUGUGCAAACACGAAAGUGGACGUAUACGGUGUGACGCCUGCCCGGUGCCGGAAGGUUAAUUGAUGGGGUUAGCGCAAGCGAAGCUCUUGAUCGAAGCCCCGGUAAACGGCGGCCGUAACUAUAACGGUCCUAAGGUAGCGAAAUUCCUUGUCGGGUAAGUUCCGACCUGCACGAAUGGCGUAAUGAUGGCCAGGCUGUCUCCACCCGAGACUCAGUGAAAUUGAACUCGCUGUGAAGAUGCAGUGUACCCGCGGCAAGACGGAAAGACCCCGUGAACCUUUACUAUAGCUUGACACUGAACAUUGAGCCUUGAUGUGUAGGAUAGGUGGGAGGCUUUGAAGUGUGGACGCCAGUCUGCAUGGAGCCGACCUUGAAAUACCACCCUUUAAUGUUUGAUGUUCUAACGUGGACCCGUAAUCCGGGUUGCGGACAGUGUCUGGUGGGUAGUUUGACUGGGGCGGUCUCCUCCUAAAGAGUAACGGAGGAGCACGAAGGUUGGCUAAUCCUGGUCGGACAUCAGGAGGUUAGUGCAAUGGCAUAAGCCAGCUUGACUGCGAGCGUGACGGCGCGAGCAGGUGCGAAAGCAGGUCAUAGUGAUCCGGUGGUUCUGAAUGGAAGGGCCAUCGCUCAACGGAUAAAAGGUACUCCGGGGAUAACAGGCUGAUACCGCCCAAGAGUUCAUAUCGACGGCGGUGUUUGGCACCUCGAUGUCGGCUCAUCACAUCCUGGGGCUGAAGUAGGUCCCAAGGGUAUGGCUGUUCGCCAUUUAAAGUGGUACGCGAGCUGGGUUUAGAACGUCGUGAGACAGUUCGGUCCCUAUCUGCCGUGGGCGCUGGAGAACUGAGGGGGGCUGCUCCUAGUACGAGAGGACCGGAGUGGACGCAUCACUGGUGUUCGGGUUGUCAUGCCAAUGGCACUGCCCGGUAGCUAAAUGCGGAAGAGAUAAGUGCUGAAAGCAUCUAAGCACGAAACUUGCCCCGAGAUGAGUUCUCCCUGACCCUUUAAGGGUCCUGAAGGAACGUUGAAGACGACGACGUUGAUAGGCCGGGUGUGUAAGCGCAGCGAUGCGUUGAGCUAACCGGUACUAAUGAACCGUGAGGCUUAACCUUACAACGCCGAAG